rnacentral:misc_RNA from 1 species
AAGUCGUAACAAGGUUUCCGUAGGUGAACCUGCGGAAGGAUCAUUAUCGAGUUUGAAAAGGGUUGUAGCUGGUCUUUCACGAGGCAUGUGCACACCCUACUCAUCACUCAACACCUGUGCACACUAUGUAGGUUUAGACGAGCAUCGGGGCCCUCGUGCCUCGGUAGGAGUCUGCCUAUGUCUUUAUAAACUCUGUUUAGUAUACGAAUGUACUUGCGAUAAAACGCAUCUUAUACAACUUUCAGCAACGGAUCUCUUGGCUCUC